rnacentral:lncRNA from 1 species
UUACCAUUUUUUGGAGCAUUUGGCUCAUGAAAAAUAGCUUCAUCGUCAUCUGAUGCAGUUGUUUUAUCAACAUCUGCCAGUGGCAAAUUUUUUCAGAUCUGUAUAGAGUUAAUGUCGAAAUCAAAGUUAUUUUGGUUAAUUUUUUUACCUUUAGCUUUGUCACCAUCUGCUAUGGUUGUCCAAUCAACUCAGCCUUCCCCUGUAAGUUUGUAUAUUGCAAUUUCGGUCAUGUUUAUAUAAGUAGAAAUUUAAUGUAUGCUUUGGUUUAAUUCAUAUGUUUUUUAUCUCAAGUCAUUUCUUAAACAAC